AUAGAAAAUAUGGGAAGAAGGAGCUGGACCAUCAGAAGAAAAGAGAGAAAUGGGAACUCUCUGGAACUCCACCUGCUGCUUAUGUUAUCCAUGGCUUGUAACAACCUCCCCACUUGAAAAGAAUCCAUUUCUAUUCCCUUCUUUAAGCAAGAAAAAUGCAUGCAAUUUCAGCAACAAGUCGUUCCAGAUUUCUUGCAAACUUUCUGAAAGUGAAGUUGAAGAAAAUUAUACUAGCAAAAAGGUGUCAGGCAGCUCAAGUAAUAAGAUGGAGGAAUACAACUUAGCUAUGAAAAGAAUGAUGAGGAACCCAUAUGAAUAUCAUCAUGAUCUUGGAAUGAACUACACAUUGAUAACAGAAAAUCUCAUUGUUGGCUCCCAGCCCCAGAAAGUUGAAGAUGUAGAUCAUUUGAAAAAGGAGGAGAAUGUCGCUUUUAUACUAAAUUUGCAGCAGGACAAAGAUAUUGAGUUUUGGGGAAUAGACCUCCAGUCUAUAGUCAAAAGAUGUUCAGAUCUUGGAAUUCAUCACAUGAGAAGGCCUGCAAAAGAUUUUGAUCCAGAUUCCUUAAGGGGUGUAUUACCUAAAGCUGUUUCAUCGCUAGAGUGGGCUAUUUCAGAAGGAAAAGGAAGAGUGUACGUACAUUGCACUGCUGGAUUGGGAAGGGCUCCUGCUGUUUCAAUUGCUUAUAUGUUCUGGUUCUGUGGAAUGGAUCUAAAUACCGCCUAUGAUACACUCACAUCAAAGAGACCCUGUGGGCCCAACAAAAGGUCGAUACGAGCAGCUGCUUAUGAUAUGGCUAAAAAUGAUCAGUGGAAGGAGCCGUUUGAGAAUCUGCCAGAUUAUGCCUUUGCAGAUGUAGCAGAUUGGGAAAGGAAACUGAUUCAAAAUCGUGUCCGGGGCCUUCGUGACACUUGAGAAUGCUGUUUGCUUGCAGGAGAAUCCAAGAAUGGACAAAAAUCUAGAAAUCAUGUCUACAACUUGAGAAAUAGAAAUCCAGACUUCACAAGUUAUAGCAUGGAUGUAUUCCAGAGAGCGAGAAGCUGCUCCUUGAAGAGAAGAAGCCCCAUUAUAACAUGCUGCAGAUUCGAAAUUUUUAAUGCAGCGUUGCAUAAAACUACUGGUAUGAGAAUUAUGAGGUCUCAAAUGCAAUUUGACAUAUGAAUUAGUUGUUGCUGUAACAUAUUAGGUCAGUAGAUUUUGUAUAGUUGUAUACCCCUGUCCCCUGUAAUAAAGUGAGCCCAUCAGUUGAAAGUUCAUUAUUGGGGAGCACCUUGUUUAUCCUUGUUCCAUAAACCAAUAUAUUGAGGGGGUUUAUGUCCUCUUUUUGUACUA